UGGGGAAUUUUCCGCAAUGGGCGAAAGCCUGACGGAGCAACGCCGCGUGAGGGAUGAAGGCCUCUGGGCUGUAAACCUCCUCUAUCAAGGAAGGAGAUCUGACGGUACUUGAUGAAUAAGCCACGGCUAAUUCCGUGCCAGCAGCCGCGGUAAUACGGGAGUGGCAAGCGUUAUCCGGAAUUAUUGGGCGUAAAGCGUCCGCAGGCGGCCCUUCAAGUCUGCUGUUAAAAAGUGGAGCUUAACUCCAUCAUGGCAGUGGAAACUGAGGGGCUUGAGUGUGGUAGGGGCAGAGGGAAUUCCCGGUGUAGCGGUGAAAUGCGUAGAUAUCGGUAAGAACACCAGUGGCGAAGGCGCUCUGCUGGGCCAUCACUGACGCUCAUGGACGAAAGCCAGGGGAGCGAAAGGGAUUAGAUACCCCUGUAGUC
rnacentral:rRNA from 1 species